GACGAACGCUGGCGGCGUGCUUAACACAUGCAAGUCGAACGAAGUGGCGAACGGGUGAGUAACGCGUAAUCAACCUGCACUUCAGAGGGGGACAAAAGUUGGAAACGACUGCUAAUACCGCAUACUGAAGGAGGGGAUUGCUGCUGAUUAGAGAGUUGGAGGGGUAACGGCCCACCAAGGCGAUGAGCAGUAGCCGGUCUGAGAGGUUAAACGGCCAACAUUGGACUGAGACACGGCCCAGACUCCUACUGGAGGCAGCAGUGGGGACUCUUCCGCCAUGGACGAAAGUCUGACGGAGCAACGCCGCGUGAGUGAUGACGGCCUUCGGGUUGUAAAGCUCUGUUAAUCGUGACGCGGUACCGGAAUAGAAAGCCACGGCUAACUACGUGCCAGCAGCCGCGGUAAUUC
rnacentral:rRNA from 1 species